rnacentral:rRNA from 1 species
UACGGGGGGAGCAAGCGUUGUUCGGAUUUACUGGGCGUAAAGGGCGCGUAGGCGGCCACCGCAAGUCAGUUGUGAAAUCUCUGGGCUUAACCCAGAACGGUCAGCUGAUACUGCGGGGCUAGAGUGCAGAAGGGGCAACUGGAAUUCUCGGGUGUAGCGGUGAAAUGCGUAGAUAUCGAGAGGAACACCUGCGGCGAAGGCAGCUCGCUGGGACGUUACUGACGCUGAGACGCGAAAGCGUGGGGAGCAAACAGG